rnacentral:rRNA from 1 species
UGCCAGCCGCCGCGGGAAUAAGUAGGGGACUAGCGUUGUUCGGAAUUACUGGGCGUAAAGAGUACGUAGGCGGCUUAGCAAGUUGGGUGUGAAAGCCCGGGGCUCAACCCCGGAACUGCACUCAAAACUGUUCGGCUAGAGAUCGGAAGAGGUAAGUGGAAUUCCCAGUGUAGAGGUGAAAUUCGGAGAUAUUGGGAAGAACACCGGUGGCGAAGGCGGCGUACUGGUCCGAUACGUAGACGCUGAGGUACGAAAGCUUGGGGAGCAAACAGGAUUAGAUA